rnacentral:rRNA from 1 species
CCUACGGGUGGCAGCAGUGAGGAAUUUUGGUCAAUGGACGAGAGUCUGAACCAGCCAAGCAGCGUGAACGAUGACUGCCCUAUGGGUUGUAAACUUCUUUUAUAAAGGAAUAAAACGAGGCACGCGUGCCUUUUUGCAUGUACUUUAUGAAUACGGAUCGGCUAACUCCGUGCCAGCAGCCGCGGUAAUACGGAGGGUCCGAGCGUUAUCCGGAUUUAGUGGGCUUAAAGGGAGCGUAGAUGGGUUGUUAAGUCAGUUGUGAAAGUUUGCGGCUCAACCGUAAAAUUGCAAUUGAUACUGGCAGGCUUGAGUACAGUUGAGGUAGGCGGAAUUCGUGGUGUAGCGGUGAAAUGCUUAGAUAUCACGAAGAACCCCGAUUGCGAAGGCAGCUUACUGGGCUGUGACUGACACUGAUGCUCGAAAGCGAGGGUAGCAAACAGGAUUAGAUACCCGUGUAGUC